rnacentral:rRNA from 1 species
AUUGAACGCUGGCGGCAUGCUUUACACAUGCAAGUCGAACGGCAGCACGGGCUUCGGCCUGGUGGCGAGUGGCGAACGGGUGAGUAAUGCAUCGGAACGUGCCCAUUUGUGGGGGAUAACUACGCGAAAGCGUGGCUAAUACCGCAUACGCCCUGAGGGGGAAAGCGGGGGAGUUCUUCGGAACCUCGCGCAAUUGGAGCGGCCGAUGUCAGAUUAGCUUGUUGGUGAGGUAAAGGCUCACCAAGGCGAAGAUGGUUAGGGGUUUUGAGAGAGAGACCCCCACCAUUGGAACUGAGAGACGGUCCAGACUCCUACGGGAGGCAGCAGUAGGGAAUAUUGGGCAAUGGGCGAAAGCCUGACCCAGCCAUGCCGCGUGAAGGAAGACGGCCUUCGGGUUGUAAAGCUCUUUCGGUGGGGAAGAAAUUGCACGGGCGAAUAACCUGUGUAGAUGACGGUACCCGGAGAAGAAGCACCGGCUAACUACGUG